UACGAAGGGGGGCUAGCGUUGCUCGGAAUCCACUGGGCGUAAAGGGUGCGUAGGCGGGUUUUUAAGUCAGAGGUGAAAUCCUGGAGCUCAACUCCAGAACUGCCUUUGAUACUGAAAGUCUUGAGUAUGGGAGAGGUGAGUGGAACUGCGAGUGUAGAGGUGAAAUCGUAGAUAUUCGCAAGAACACCAGUGGCGAAGGCGGCUCACUGGCCCGUACUGAC
rnacentral:rRNA from 1 species